CCUUCUCAGGAAGCUCGGGUCUCCCUGGGAGCCUGGCUGCCCUUGGGGGAGGCCUCUGAGCUGUGUGCCCUGCAGCUCCGCUAGCUUUCGGGGUGACAUUAGAGGGGCUCUGCGCCCCCCGCGUGGCUCGCGCUAAGCCCAACAGGAGGGAGCCUCUCGGCGGAGGAGUGAGGAGGACGGGAGGGAGAGGCGCGCCAGAGCCUCGGUCCCGGGCGCCCUGGUCGGCCGCGGAGGAACUGCAGCCUCCAACAGGAAGUUAAGCAUCUCUGCUGUGCUAUCUACUCUGCUUGGUGUCUGACUCUCCUGCAUCCCAGCUCAUCCAGGAAGCACAGAAGGACCAUGGAUGAAGCAGCCGACCUCAGCUCUCCCGCAGGUUAGCAGGCCAAGCUUAAUCACCCCCACCUCUAGCCUCCUUCCAUCCUCGAUGUCUCUUCCCCACCACCCACCACCAGUGAUCCAACGUGCAUAGUUGUAAACUUGUUUCUUUAAAUAAACAGCCUCGAGUUUCAUA
rnacentral:lncRNA from 1 species